rnacentral:rRNA from 1 species
UACGAAGGGGGCUAGCGUUGCUCGGAAUCACUGGGCGUAAAGCGCACGUAGGCGGCUUUUUAAGUCAGGGGUGAAAUCCUGGAGCUCAACUCCAGAACUGCCUUUGAUACUGGGAAGCUUGAGUCCGGAAGAGGUGAGUGGAACUCCGAGUGUAGAGGUGAAAUUCGUAGAUAUUCGGAAGAACACCAGUGGCGAAGGCGGCGACCUGGGCCAA